GGAGAGGGUGGAGCUUUGGAGUGAGACCCAGGACGCCAAAUCCCAAAGAGAAAAAUAGGAGCCUAAAUAAGGAUCAGGACCAAGGGAAGGGGUGAAGAUACUCCUAAAUAGCCACAUAUGGAUUAAUUUUAUUUUAGAAUCGUGAAAAAUGGAAGACAGUAGCACAGACACAGAAAAAGAAGAGGAAGAGGAGAAAGAUGAAAAGGAUCAAGAGCCCAUUUAUGCCAUAGUGCCCACAAUUAACAUUCAAGAUGAGCGGUUUGUUGAUUUAUCUGAAACUCCAGCUUUCAUUUUUCUGCAUGAGCCAAUCCACAACUCCUGUUAGAAGACCGGAGGGAUAAUACCCAUAUACCUUAAUAAAGGUGAACUCCCACAGCUGCUCUCUCACUCCCUACCCACUGCUGAGCUCCCUGCCACCUCCAGACUUAUCUGCGCUCCCCAUCAGCACCCCUAAGCUGUCAGAUCUGUGGCCGGGAUGCAGUACCUGCACGGCGUCCUGGGCCCCAUCAUCAACAAGGUGUUUGAGGAGAAGAAGUACGUGGAGCUGGACCCCAGCAAAGUGGAAGUUAAGGAUGUAGGGUGCUCCAGGCUGCACCGCCCGCAGACCGAGGCCGAGGUGCUGGAGCAGAGCGCGCAGACGCUGCGCGCCCACCUGGGGGCCCUGCUGAGCGCGCUCAGCCGCUCGGUUCGCGCGUGCCCCGCCGUGGUGCGCGCCACCUUCCGCCAGCUCUUCCGGCGCGUGCGCGAGCGCUUCCCCGGCGCCCAGCACGAGAAUGUACCGUUCAUCGCCGUCACCAGCUUCCUGUGCCUGCGCUUCUUCUCCCCCGCCAUCAUGUCGCCCAAGCUCUUCCACCUGCGGGAGCGCCACGCGGACGCCCGCACCAGCCGCACCCUGCUCCUGUUGGCUAAGGCAGUCCAGAACGUGGGCAACAUGGACACGCCGGCUUCCAGGGCCAAGGAGGCUUGGAUGGAGCCGCUGCAGCCCACCGUGCGCCAGGGCGUGGCGCAGCUGAAGGACUUCAUCACCAAGCUCGUGGACAUCGAGGAGAAGGACGAGCUGGACCUGCAGCGGACGCUGAGUUUGCAGGCGCCACCUGUGAAGGAGGGGCCACUCUUCAUCCACAGGACCAAGGGCAAGGGCCCCCUCAUGUCCUCCUCCUUCAAGAAGCUCUACUUCUCCCUCACUACCGAGGCCCUCAGCUUCGCGAAGACGCCCAGCUCCAAGUGUGUGAAUGAGCUUAACCAGUGGCUGUCUGCGCUGUGGAAGGUGAGCAUCAACAACACCGGACUGCUGGGCUCCUACCACCCUGGCGUCUUCCGUGGGGACAAGUGGAGCUGCUGCCACCAAAAAGAGAAGACAGGUCAGGGCUGCGAUAAGACCCGGUCACGGGUGACCCUGCAGGAGUGGAAUGACCCUCUUGACCAUGACCUUGAGGCCCAGCUCAUCUACCGGCACCUGCUGGGCGUGGAGGCCAUGCUGUGGGAGAGGCACCGGGAGCUGAGCGGGGGCGCAGAGGCAGGCACGGUGCCCACGAGCCCUGGCAAAGUCCCUGAGGACUCAUUGGCCCGGCUGCUCCGGGUGCUGCAGGACCUCCGCGAGGCCCAUAGCUCCAGCCCGGCCGGCUCCCCACCCUCAGAGCCCAACUGCCUCCUGGAGCUGCAGACGUGAGGCCCGCCCUACGCUCCCCUUGCUGAGUCCCCUGCCAAGCGCUCGGAGCCCCCCCAGGACACUCUGCACCCCCUCACCCCGGUCCUCCUCAUUAGGGUGCAGGGCCUAGGUCUCUUCCAGGUGGGGGAGGGGAGAGAGUCAGGAAUAAGGGGAUCCCCAGAAGUGCAGAGCUGAGCAGGCUUGGGCCUGUCAUGGCUGGCCGGAAGUGUCCCCAGCUCCCUACAGACGCUGUAGCCAUCACUGCCUCUCCAGGGACCCUCCUCUCCUGCCCAGGACAGACCCAGCCAGAACCACUGCUAGGAUGGGCCGCACCCAGGGGUCUGGCCUCCAGGGACCUAGAGAAUGGGAGGGAGAACGGGGCCCCAGGAGACCCGGCCGCCACCCCACCCGCUACCCUUGGGUGCCACAGGGCUGUGCUGUUGCCAACAGUAAACCUGCUCUUACUGUCCAGGCUCUGGGGUCUUGUGAUGAGGGUCUGGGGAGAAAGUGGGCCCGGGGGGACCCCGGAGGCUGUCGGUGGAUGUGCCGAUGAUGGGGCUGACAGUAUGGGCUCUGGGCAUCCCUGUUCCCCCCUCUUUCUUCCCCCCACUCUUCUGGGGUCGGGGGUUCCUUUCCCUUCCCAGUUGCUGUCCCUGGGUCCCCUCUUUCAUGUCCCACAGGCCACAGAGCCCAGUGUGUCCAACCAGCUGUUCUCUCCUCAAAGCAGCCCCCAAGCAAGUCCCUUCUCUAGGGUGUCCCUGAGGACAGCACAGAGGCGGGACUCAGAGACCCCAUUCCUCUUCACGCAGCCCUUACCCCAAGCCCUCUAGCUGUGUGGCUGGCAGUGUUGGCCACGUAGGGGCUCCCAUCCCCCCACCAUUGUGUCACAUGGGCUGCCAGGCUCAGCUCCCAGCUGCGUCCACAGUGACCUGGAUCAGGGUGGGGACAAGGACUGGACCCUCCUUCUCCAGAAGGCCUUCAGCUCUUGCCUUGCCAUGCAGUCACCUCCUUCCCCCUCUGACCCCAGAUCCCAAAGGUGCACCGUUGCCCCAGCCCCUUUCUGGCCCCAUGGGGUUUCUCUGAUGCCUUCAUCAUAGAGGCCCGGGGCUGGUCCGAUGGUUGGCAAAACUUGACUCCGGCCCAGUCCCCACUCUUGGGGACUUAGAACCCCUGCUGUCCUGGGAUCUGGCCUGCCUUUCUUUGGUCAGUCCCUGUGGUCCCCCACCAGCUCCCCCUCCCAUAGGGCUGCCCACCAAGCCCUGCCCCCAGCCCAAGAGGAGCCCCCACUGCCUGCGGGGCAGUGAUGUCUGGCCACCGGCUCACACCAAUGACUUGGUCCUGGGGUGGCAGAAGCAGCAGGUGACAGGAGCAGGGCCCCUGUCCCUCUCUUCUGGCCCUGUGGUACCCAGGCCACACGUUGUGCCCGCUCUUGGGGCUGACCGGCUGUAGGGACCACCAGCCGCUGCUACUGUGGGCCGCCCCGGGGCAAGGUGGGCAGGGCUUUUGUGGGUUAUGAGGACACAGAAGUCCCUGAGGCCCCCAGACCUGGCUCAGCCAACCUCCUUCCUCCCCCGGUUGCCCCCCACUCUAAAGCCUCCUCCCUCCCAGCGUCCACUGGCUCCAGGCUCCUCACAACAGCAGCUCAUAGACACGGGGCGUCUCCAGGUGGUCCCAGCCCUCCAGAUGUUUCUAGCUCUCCAGGUGGGCGCUGUUUUCACGUCUGCCUGCAUCCAUUCAUUCCUUCAUUCCUCACCUUUAUCCUGUUAUCUCUAUUUUUUUAAGCUACCAGGAAGGAAAGGGAAGAAGAGAUCACGAAACUGGGACCCCCAGAAGGGAGGAGUGGGCUUUGAACUUAGACAUCUACCUCAGGCUCAAAUAGGUUGUUUAAAAUCACAUUCAAUUUUCAGAUGAAGGGGAACUUUAUAGUUUUUUUUUUUUUUUUUUUUUUGAGACAGAGUCUCACUGUGUUGCCCAGGCUGGAGUGCAAAUGGCUUGAUCUUGGUUCACUGCAACCUCUGCCUCCCAGGUUCAAGCAAUUCUCUUGCCUCAGCCUCCCGAGUAGCUGGGACUAAAGGCGUGUGCCACCAUGCCCAGCUAAUUCUUGUAUUUUUAGUAGAGACGGAGUUUCUCCAUGUUGGCCAGACUGGUCUCGAACUCCUGACCUCAGGUGAUCUGACCGCCUUGGCCUCCGAAAGUGCUGAGAUUACAGUUGCGAGCCACUGUGCGUGGCCAGAACUUUAUAAUAAGAGACUUGAAGCUGGGUGUGACGGUGCACACCUCUAGUCCCAGCUACUCGGGAGGCCAAGACAGAAGGAUCACCUUGAGGCCAGGAGUUUAAGGCCAGCCUGGGCAACAUAGCAAAACCUAGUCCCUAAAAUUAAAAAAAAAAAAAAAAAAAAAAAGGAAAAUAAAGGAGACUUGAAAUUUUUGAACUAAAUAGUGGUGAUGGCUACACAUUGUGAAUGUAAUUAACACCACUGAGUUAAACACUUAAAAUGGUUAAAAUGGCAAAUUGUAUGUUAUACCUAUUUUACUACAAUAAAAAGUAUAAAAAAGAGAAGAUAUUUAGGUGACUUACAGCAACCAAUUGCAACAAAACAAAAUGUUAAGAAAUGAUCUUUUUAUGAGGCAAUUGGAAAUUUGAACACUGAUCAACUAUAGGAUGAUUGGAAUUAUUAAUUUUGUAAAGGUGUGAUAAGAUACUGCACUUGGCUGGGCACAGUGGCACAUGCCUGUAAUCCCAGCUACUUGGCAGGCUGAGGUGGGAGAAUCGCUUGAGCUCAGGAGUUCGAGACCAGCCUGGGCAACGUGGCGAAAUCCCCGUCUUUACAAAAACAAACAAACAAACAAAAAAGAUAUUGCAGUUGUGUUGUAAGCGUCCUUAUCUUUCAGAGCUACAUAGUGGAAUGUUUAUGGAAUAUUUAGGAUAAAUGAUAUAGGCAUUUGGGAUUUGCUGCAAAAUGACCCAGAGGCAGGGGUCAGGGGGAGAGGUAGAGAUGAGACAAGAGGUAGAGGGGAGAGGUAGAGGUAGCCACGAGCUGAUAAUUACAGACAAGAGAUGCGGAGUAUGUGGGGGCUCAUUAUCCUGCAUAGUCUAUCUUUGUAUAUCUUUGAACUUUUCAAGAAUAAAAAAGCUUAAAAAGUA